UACGGAGGUUGCAAGCGUUAUCCGGAUUCACUGGGUUUAAAGGGUGCGUAGGCGGAAUUAUAAGUCAGUGGUGAAAGCCCCGAGCUCAACUUGGGAACUGCCAUUGAUACUGUUUUUCUUGAGUGUGGUUGAAGUGGGCGGAAUAUGACAUGUAGCGGUGAAAUGCUUAGAUAUGUCAUAGAACACCGAUUGCGAAGGCAGCUCACUAAACCAUUACUGACGCUGAGGCACGAAAGCGUGGGGAGCGAACAGG
rnacentral:rRNA from 1 species